GAAGUAUGAUAAAACAAGUGAAAUGGAAUUUCGUAUCUGUGCCAUUCUUUUCUUUUACAUUAUCUUCUCUAAAUUUCAUUUUUAAGCAAUUAAUAAUCCUCCAGACUUUAUAUUAAGUUACCUUACUAUUGUGGAGUAUACCACAGAUUAAAAUUGUAUUAGUUAAAAAUUUUAACUAAGAGGUAAGUAUAAGAUAAUGAUUAAAAGGAUGUAUUAUAGAAUAAAAUUGCUAGAUUUGUAAUCUGGCUUUAUGUUUACUAACAGUGUAAUCCAAGGGAACUUUCUAACCCUUAGUUUCUUUCUCUAUAAAGUAUGGAUAAUAAUUUUAUAGGCUUAUUGUGGGUGAUUGAAUGAGGUAAGUCAUACUUUUUAGUACAAUGCCUGAUACAUACUUAAUAUUCAAUAAACGUCAGCUAUUAUUAGCAAACGUUAGACUUUAUCCUAGAAAUAUGACAAAAAUUGGGUAAAUACCUACUUAUAGGUAAAUAUCUAGAGAACCCCGUGCCUACAUAUGGGUGUUUUCCUCUAUUGGGUUAUUGACAUAUCAGCUCCUUCUACAGGAAAAACUGUUGAUACUUAUGUUACAAUAAUUUAUUUCUUUAUUGUUUUUGCAGUAUUCCAGGAUAAUUUGAAGAUUUUUCGUAGUAUAAAAGGUGGCCGAGUUGCCACUGAUGAAUUGGUGGCUGUUUUGGAUAGCAUGGGCAUCCCUAUAAAUUUUGAAACAUUUCAGGAAGUGAUAAAACAUACAUAUAUUGACAGUAACCACAUGGUGGAUAUUGGAGAUAUUGUAUUUCUUUUGGACGCACUACAGAGCCAGUAUGAAGACAUUUAUUCAGAUUUGGAUGAAAUUUCUUCAAAGAAAAAGUUAUCAAAGAUAGCAAGAUACGCUCUACGAUAUAAGAAGAAAUACAGUUUACCUUCCAGCCUGACUGAAUCAUCAAUGUCUAAAAAUUUAAUUAAGAAAAUUCCCCAAUAUCAUGGAAAAAUUGUGGAAGAAAAUGAUUCUGAAAUUAAACAAUCAAAAAAUUUUGGGCAAAUAAGAAAAUUUCCAGGUGAACCGUACUCAAAGAAUGGCAUGAAUUUUAAAAAACAUUCAGAUAAAUCUGAGAAUUAUGACUCAAGGUCUAAACUACAAAACUUGAAGAGUAUUACAAACCUCAAAAAGUCUCUGGAUAAAACUGAUAUUUCUGAUAUCCCCAAACUUCAGCAACCUGAUGUGAGAAGGCAUUCCACUCUCCUAAAACAUGUUUCAUCUAAGGAAAAUACUUCAAUGAAUACCCUGGGUCAGUACCAUAUACAUAAGUCAGAAUCGAGGUCCUUGAGUUCUUUAGUUGUCACAGAAAUGGGCAGUAUUUAUCUGUCAUUAGAUGUAAGCAGUUAUCAGUCUCCUGAGUAACCAGCAGUUCUGAUGCCUAGGCCAAUGUAUGUGAUUUUACGGCUUUGAUGUUGGUGCCUUUUUAGAUGUCCCCUUUUGGGGGCGUUUAACCUUCUGUUAUAAGCUUAUUAAGUGAUUAAUUGGAGUAACUCAAAUUCCCUAGAAAGGUGAGGGCCUAUUUUCCUUUGAGAAUAUUUAUGAUUUAUUUAAAUGAAUAUGUAGAAAGUCUGAAAUUUUUAUUUAGAGUUCCCCCACUUUAAUUCAUAGUGCUUUACAUACUAUCUCUUAUGGAUGGAAAAUAAUAUGACAUAUCUAAUGUCACUAAAGCUUUUUGGUCUUCCUCAAAGAUGAACAAUACCUUUCCAACAAAUGUGUGUACUUCUUUUUGUGCUACUUCUAUCAAAAUACCUGUGUUUUAAAAGAAACUUACUGAAUUUUAUAUUGCAUUUAGUAUUUAAUAUGAUAGUUAUAAUGGAUGCCUCGUGAAAAUUAAGUGAUUCAUACACUAAUGUGUAAUUGAAACAAGUCUGUUGAAAAACAGGUAUGAUCUAUUAAGG
ensembl:lincRNA